GAUAUAAGUAUUUUAAUAAAUAUUAGUUAUAUAAUUAAAUUUUAACAAUAAAAUAAUAUUUGACAAAUAGAUGAUAUACAAGUGUUUUUAUGGGUUUCUCAGAGUUUCUCACUUGAAAGACUAAUUCUACUCUCUCUCAUACUUUUUGAUUAUAUUUUAUUUUUAUAUUGAACAGUUUUUUAAUGAGAAACCAUUGAUGGAGAUGGUCUUAAUAAUCAGGAAUCACUAAGAAAAAGAUUCGAAAGAGGACAGAUAUACCUCAAACUCAAAAGGUGUAUUCA
rnacentral:sRNA from 1 species